AUUACGGUACAAUUUUAAAUUUAGAUACAUUAAUUUUUUGCCUUAUCAUGAAUUUUAUUUUAUAUAUAUGGGACUUAUAAAAGUUAACGGGGUGUGUAAUGAAGACUCCGAAACUUCAACCAUCCGAAUAUAGCGACUCAAUUGGCGUCCGUUGUCUCUACUGCGCAAGGAGAUACGAUUUUCCUGACGACAACGUCUGUGUCAAUAUGGCGGAUAUUAGUAGUUGAAUGAUCGUCACACCUUUAUUGAUUUCAAUAUCACAUAGGAUUACGGUACAAUUUAAUUUUUACGUAUAUAUAUUUUUUGCCUUAUCGUGAACUUUUUUUCUUACAGAUGUGACAUAUAAAAGUUCACGGGAUGUGUAAUGAAGACUCCGAAACUUCAACCAUCCGAAUAUAGCGACUCAGGUGGCGUCUGUUGUAUCUACUGCGCAAGGAGAUACGAUUUUCCUGACGACAACGUCUGUGUCAAUAUGGCGGAUAUUAGUUUUGGCCGUUUUAAAUGUGCCCAACGCAAACGCCGCCAACAA